rnacentral:rRNA from 1 species
ACAGCAGUAGCCGCGGUAAUACGAAGGGUGCAAGCGUUACUCGGAAUUACUGGGCGUAAAGCGUGCGUAGGUGGUGGUUUAAGUCCGUUGUGAAAGCCCUGGGCUCAACCUGGGAAUUGCAGUGGAUACUGGGUCACUAGAGUGUGGUAGAGGAUAGUGGAAUUUCCGGUGUAGCAGUGAAAUGCGUAGAGAUCGGAAGGAACAUCUGUGGCGAAGGCGACUAUCUGGGCCAACACUGACACUGAGGCACGAAAGCGUGGGGAGCAAACAGGAUUAGAUACCCCAGUAGUCCCUGUCUCUUAUAA